GGAGGGAUUCCCGAGUGGCUAAAGGGGGCAGACUGUAAAUCUGUUGUCUGGUGACUUCGAUGGUUCGAAUCCAUCUCCCUCCACCA
rnacentral:tRNA from 1 species